CUGCUUGGGCAGCACACACAUUAAAACUGGAAUGGUACAGAGAAGAUUAACAUGGCCCCUGAGCAAGGAUGACAUAUUAAUUCAUGGAGGAUUCCUUUAAAUAU
rnacentral:snRNA from 1 species